CCCCUGACUGGACGGCGGCGCGUGAGCGGCGCGAGAAGCUUCGCCGCGGGGGUGCGCGGGCACGCCGAAGCCGCUUACCUGGGCCCACACCGGCCUGCUCUGGCGCCCGGCUGUGACGGGUGCGGCGGCGGGUGGUGGCGGUGGCGGCUGCAGGCUUCGCUCCUUGUUGGGGAUUCGGCGGCGGCGGCGGCGGCGGCGGCGGCGCGGGCGCGCGCUUCCUAGUGACGCAGACACCAAGGCCGCGCACGCACAGGUCGGGCGGGCUUGGAGACUUAUUUGGCGCCUGGCGCGGAAGUGAACGGUGUGGUGAGAUAGUACCCGAAGGGCCCUGGCGCGCGUGCGUUUGUUCCUUACUUCUGUGCUCGGUGGUUAGGUGUUCCGUGGCUCAAGUCCAGGUUGGCGUUUGCUUUUUAAGCCCGCGUGUCGGCUCCACUAGGGAGCCGCGACCAACACGUCCGUAGAAUUCGAGUGCGACCACCGAGUGUGGGCGUUCUUGCCCAUUUCGGGCAGAAUCGUGCUUUCUUGUUUGAAAUUGAAGAGUUUUCGAAUUUGCUUUCGCAACGUGCUCAUUGCGGAGCGGUGUUUUCUUGCGGUUGACCAACCGGCAUUGCAGCGGAUAGUCCAAACCGGGACUCGCUAUGUAGACCAAGCUGACUUGGAACUCUUAGAGAUCUGCCUGCCUUCCGAGUUCUGAGAUUAAAAGCGUGUGUCAUCUUGCCCAGCCCAGUAUUCUAAAGUUUUAAAUGAAAGUUAAUGAAAGAAAUAAAUGCUAAUGAAGUUAAAGGGUAAGUCUAGAGAAGAGGUGGAAUGGAGAUCAAAGCCUGCAUGAACAGGAAUAGCUGAUGUCUGCUGCUGCCAGUAGGCCAGAAUUGAAGCCCAAUCCAAGUUCAGUGAGCUGAAGCCCAUGUGCUCCAGGACUGGUGCCUUCUAGAGGAAGCGAAGGGGAGCCCUUCAUCUUUAAGGCCAGCUCUCCUGUCUCCCUUACCUACUUUUUUUGUUUUUGCUUUUUUUUUUUUUA